rnacentral:rRNA from 1 species
UACGGGGGGGGCAAGCGUUGUUCGGAAUUACUGGGCGUAAAGGGGACGUAGGCGGCCAACUAAGUCCGACGUGAAAUCCCAAGGCUUAACCUUGGAACUGCGUCGGAUACUGGAUGGCUUGAAUUCGGGAGAGGGAUGCAGAAUUCCAGGUGUAGCGGUGAAAUGCGUAGAUAUCUGGAGGAAUACCGGUGGCGAAGGCGGCAUCCUGGACCGACAUUGACGCUGAAGGCCGAAGGCUAGGGGAGCAAACGGG